rnacentral:lncRNA from 1 species
ACAGGUGAUUAUUCAAAGGUUUGUGCUGACGUGUCAGACUGUACGGCCCAAAGAAGCCGGCUGGAGUGAUGGCUGAUGAUCUGCCGGCCGCAGCCGGCAGGUGAUCGAGCCAAUUAGUGUGCUGGGCCACUGGUGGGCGCUGUCAUCCAGCCAAACAUAUCCACGGUAAAAAUUGGACCCACGAUGGCCACAAUUUCAGAUUUCUCAUCCGGACUCUGAAUCCCAGUUGGGAGUUGGAACUGACGAUAAAGCUCCCUUUGCUGUAUUUCUUUUUCUGCGUGAAGUCUACUUGAUUAACCGAAUGUGUAUUACACUCGGAAAAACAAGUUAACAUUAAAUUCGUAUACAAAAGAUUUUUCUAAUGAUAUAUUUUUUUCCGCGAGUAAAUGAUUUUUUUGUGACAUAUAACUUAUAUUUUAUCAAUCAAAUACUAGGUGAUUGGUCUUAUAAAUCCAUAUGCGUGGGGACAUAUACUGUGGGGAUUAUUAAUGGAUUAAUACCACGUGGCAAGGAUGGUUGGCAAUCCCAAAUAAAUGGUGCCAUCGCUACUGCAGCUAUGUUUCGGUUGACCUGUGGAUCCAUGGGAUCAAUCAAAACUUGGUUAGUGUGUCACAUUAAUUAGACUGGCCCGCGAGACUCCCUUCGCAAUAGUAAUUUUUUUCGUUAGGAAACAGACAAGAUUUUUUAUUUUUUUUACCGAAAUCAAACAAGCUGGGUAGGACAUUGGCACAUGGAGCAUUUGCAAGGUAGCGAUCGACUACAACAGUUCACACAUGAUCGAUACUAGGCAUUAAUUGCACAUACACGAUUUCCGGCUUCUGGGGAUCAACAAUUUGUCUCAGCUCUCUCACACACUCAUGACAACAAAUCUUAAGACUAGACAUGAUGAUCAUACAUAAGCAUGAGACAAAGCAAAGCCAGCUCAUAAGUUGCCGGCCCCAACAAUAACCUGCAAAACAACAAUGUAGCCUGAGUUAGUACUGUCUCCAUUUCUAAAUACAGAAAGUAACAGACUUGUCCUAUGUCAAAUAUUUUUAUUUCGAUUAAUUUUAUAAAAAUAUCAAUAGUUAGAAUAUCAAAUAAGUAUAACAUAAAAAUAUAUAUCACGCUGAAUUUAAUAGAACUCAUUUAGAGCCGAAGGUGUUGGUAGAUUUUUUUUUUAUAAACUUGGUCAAAAUUUAAGAAGUUUGAUCUAGAAUCAAGAUAAGACUUAUUAAAUUUAGGAAUGGUGACACAAAAUUGAUACCGUUAGCGAUCAAUUUAAAAAUUGGUACCGUUUUGAUACCGUUAGAGAUCAAUCAGUUUAAAAGUCGUUGCAUACAUUCUCUGGUUGUGAUUUUUGAAAGAGGACAUUUUCAUCCAACAUGAACAUUCCCCAAAUAAAGUAUGGAAAAUAGGUCAAAGCAUAAGUAACAAGAUACCAAUCGGUGGUAACUCCAAAUUAAUCAAAUCACAUAGCCUAUUGCUAACCACCAUCGAUGUUGGCACAUAAAUAAAUCUUUAGGCAACGAAUCCCACGACUUCAUGCAGCCUGACUCCACAUGCCCUUUUUGCCCCGGAGUUGUAGCAUAGACCACGGGUGUUAAAGAAAAGGAUCCAUUUAACCCGUCAAACCGUCCUAGACAAACAUUUGUAUUGCUCCGAUAGCUAACGUCACAUGAAUAGAAGGAAGUUGAACUAGCUAGCAUCUUUCAAGCAGGGUUGAACACCCCCUAGCAUAGACUAGCACGGUAGCACCACAAGGUCAACAUCCAAGGAUUGACCAUUAUUUAUUUAUUGUGUUAUAAAAACGAUGUAAUUCCAUACUCACGCCAACAAGAAUAUGCA